rnacentral:tRNA from 1 species
AGGGUUAUGGCUCAGAGGUAAGAGAGCUUGCCUAUCAUGCAUGAAGUCCUGGGUUCAACCCCCGUAACCUGC